AACGAACGCUGGCGGCAUGCCUAACACAUGCCAGUCGAACGAGACCUUCGGGUCUAGUGGCGCACGGGUGCGUAACGCGUGGGAACCUGCCCUUAGGUUCGGAAUAACUCCCCGAAAGGGGUGCUAAUACCGGAUAAUGUCUUCGGACCAAAGAUUUAUCGCCUUUGGAUGGGCCCGCGUUGGAUUAGCUAGUUGGUAGGGUAAAAGCCUACCAAGGCGACGAUCCAUAGCUGGUCUGAGAGGAUGAUCAGCCACACUGGGACUGAGACACGGCCCAGACUCCUACGGGAGGCAGCAGUGGGGAAUAUUGGACAAUGGGCGAAAGCCUGAUCCAGCAAUGCCGCGUGAGUGAUGAAGGCCUUAGGGUUGUAAAGCUCUUUUACCCGGGAUGAUAAUGACAGUACCGGGAGAAUAAGCGCCGGCUAACUCCAUG
rnacentral:rRNA from 1 species